rnacentral:rRNA from 1 species
CCAAGGCAAUGAUGGGUAGCCGGGUUGAGAGACCGACCGGCCAGAUUGGGACUGAGACACGGCCCAGACUCUACGGAGGCAGCAGUGGGGAAUCUUGCACAAUGGGCGAAAGCCUGAUGCAGCGACGCCGCGUGCGGGAUGAAGGCCUUCGGGUUGUAAACCGCUUUCAGCAGGGGACGAGGCCGCAAGGUGACGGUACCUGCAGAAGAAGCCCCGGCUAACUACGUGCCAGCAGCCGCGGUAAAU